rfam:Streptomyces sp. NRRL F-6602 F6602contig53.1, whole genome shotgun sequence.
CUUCACAGAACCCAGCCACAACGGCCGCUCGGCCGGGCGGCCCUGGCCGUACGUCGCCAGCAACGCGCGCGCCUC